rnacentral:rRNA from 1 species
GAUGAACGCUGGCGGCGUGCCUAAUACAUGCAAGUCGAGCGAACAGACGAGGAGCUCGCUCCUCUGACGUUAGCGGCGGACGGGUGAGUAACACGUGGAUAACCUACCUAUAAGACUGGGAUAACUUCGGGAAACCGGAGCUAAUACCGGAUAAUAUAUUGAACCGCAUGGUUCAAUAGUGAAUGACGGUUUUGCUGUCACUUAUAGAUGGAUCCGCGCCGCAUUAGCUAGUUGGUAAGGUAACGGCUUACCAAGGCAACGAUGCGUAGCCGACCUGAGAGGGUGAUCGGCCACACUGGAACUGAGACACGGUCCAGACUCCUACGGGAGGCAGCAGUAGGGAAUCUUCCGCAAUGGGCGAAAGCCUGACGGAGCAACGCCGCGUGAGUGAUGAAGGUCUUCGGAUCGUAAAACUCUGUUAUUAGGGAAGAACAAAUGUGUAAGUAACUAUGCACGUCUUGACGGUACCUAAUCAGAAAGCCACGGCUAACUACGUG